UUUGACUUGCCACGUAUCAUAACAUAUAUCAGCACAAAGAAGGCGUAUAAUGGUGACCUGGCAUAAAAUUUAAGUCUGAAAACCUUCAAGUUGAAGUUAUCAACAGUAAAAGAGGCGUAAGAUAAACAAUUAUUGAAAAUCUUCAAAAGAGACCUGAAAGACGAACAAGACACUUGAUACUAGCUGAAAACAAACAAUUGUCGUUCCUUGAAACGCAUCCACAACAUCCACCCCUGAAAAAAAUUGGAAACUCAUCAACCUGGUGGAAAAACAUAUUCAAAAGCGCAAGAAAUGGCAAUGUAUUUUGCAGAAUAUCCUGAGGAUGGUACAAGACUCUCGGACAAUGAAAUAUUUCAUCUUUCAAAAAAGAUAGGAGGAAAUUACAAUACACUUGCACUUCUUGCUGGUAUGUCAGACCAAGCGGACAUCGUUAGGGCCGACAACUUCAAUUAUCCAGGUCCUGUAGAAAAAGCUACAAAAAUACUGACAUAUAUAAAUGACGAUGACACGUUUAGUCGACAACAGCUUGCAAAUCAUUUAAAAAAAAUGGGACUUGGAAAAUUAGCUGGGGAACUCUUACGUGGAGAAUUUCGAAAUCCGGACUCUGAAGAAACAA